ensembl:lncRNA
UCCCAGUUGAAGACAUGUGGCUGUGCCCUGUGAACUAUAAAUAAAUUAGCAUAAUUUGUUGUGAAGCAGUUUCUUGAUGAAUGUGUUAUCCUUAAAUUGGUUUUCAUUGGCAAAAACUGUUUUAAUUUCUUUUUUUUUUUUUAGAUUGUCAACAUUUCUGCAAAGAAAAUACUGCUCAUAGACCCCAUGAGGAAUGAAGGUUUAUGACAGGAAAAUUCUGCGUAACUGAGGGCAUGUAUGAUACUGAGGUAUUAUUCUUAGAAAAAACAUUUCUUGUUUCAUUAUAAAUUGCUUUUUCAACUAGGAAAUAUCUGAGGAUGAGAGGGCAUGAAGACACCAUGGAGUGGCAGUUACAGACUCUGCAACACAAUAAGCAACAGGAUUCCAGCAGUUGCGGAGUUUUACUGUUAAAAUUUGCAGAAAACUACCUUGCUUUUGGAGAGGUCAGUGGUCACUACGGAAGUAGUUGUACUGGAGCGAAUACAGAUAGCUUGCACCCUAUUUGAACAUCGAGGGAACCCUGAGGACUACUGCAUUGUUUGCUCUAUGUUAGAUGCUGAACGCAGCAUGUUUGAAAUGGUGCAGUGUGAUUCUUGCCAAAGAUGGGCACAUUUUGAAUAUGUAAAAUAUAAGGAGAGCAACCUAGAAUAUAAAUGCAAAAAAUGUGAGGAAAACAUGUAACAACUUCUAAUAAAAACAGCUGUCUUUUCCCCUCCAUUUCUCCUUAUAUUCUGUGUUAACAUUAGAUGAAUGUGUGCUGGAAGCAUGUUUUGAUAGUGUGAUUUGGCCAUCAGAACAUCCUACCUAUAGAUAUGUACAAUGGAGGCAUAAACCACGUAAGAUAGCACGGAUCGAUAGACAUGACUAUAAAUUUACUCUACGGUAGGAUGUUUUGACAAACUUGGAUGUUUUGUCAGAACACCGGCAGCAGCCCAGGAAUAAAGCCCCCUAAGAUCUACUUCUCUCUGAGGUAGCACAAGAAAGCAGGAUCUCUUCCCCGCUUCCUCCGAUGAGGCCCCUUAUUGUUAUUCAUUGUUUUAGUUAUCUUUAUUGUGUUCUGCUUGUGUUAUAUUCUUAGUUCCUAGGAUUUAGGUUUCUGUUACUUUGCCUUCCCCCGUGUUCCACGUCUAGUCACUCAUCUCCAUGUUCCCUCUGUCUCCCCAGUCAGCUAUAUCUCUAUGUCUCAGUGUCAAAUUUGCAUCUUUGUGAAUGUCUCUUGUUUCCUGUUUUACUUUGAUAGUCUUGUGUUCAGUGCUUUAAGUUUUGCUUCCCCUUUUUCUCAUCAUGUUUGAUUAGUGUCAGCUGUGUUCUCCUCCUGUUUGCCAUUUCCUCAUUACGCUCUGUGUGUGUAUUUAUAGCGUGUGUGAUUUCCUCUGUCCUUUGUUGGAUCGUCUGUGUGACCUCUGCGUUUUCACCUAUUCAUCAUCCCCUGCUCUUCACCCCUCAUGUUCCGUGUCGUCAGGUUUCAGGUUUUCUUGUUCUAUGUUUCAGAUUUCAGCAUUAUUUUUUCCCAGUUUAGGUUUUUGUUAGUUCUUUUCCUGUUCUCCCUCGCUAGUUAUUUUUGUAAUGUCCUCCUUCAGCCAACAAUAAAGGCUUGCCUUUUGUUAUUACCCACUUCAUCUUUAUAUACACUACUGGUCAAAGGUUUUAGAACCCCACAAUUUUUCUAGUUAUUUAUUGAAAUUCAAGUUGUCCAAGUCCAAUGAAUAGCUGGAAAUGGUAAAUGGUUAAAAAAAAUGUAAGGUUAACCAAAACAGAAAAAUAAUGCAUAUUUCAUAAUUAUUUUUCAGGGAACAAAGGAAAACACUUACAAAUGUAAGUCUUUCACACAGAGAAAUUGCAAAGAAAGUCAACAUGUCAGUGAGUAAAGUUUCCUUCACCAUCAAAAGGCACUCAGAAACUGCAGCAAACUCUGACAGGAAGACGUCAGGCAGACCCAAAGCCACAACUAAUUCAGAGGACAAGUUUCUGAGAGUUAACAGCUUGCAUGAUAGGCAGCUCACAGGACAACAGCUUCAAGCACAGCUCAAAAGUGGUCGUCAUAAGCAAGUCUCAGUUUCAACUGUGAAGAGAAGAUUUCCAGCUGCAGGUUUGACAGGAUGAGUUGCAGCACGAAGAAGAAGGUAUUUUAGAAUGAACUGGACACGAGAGAAAGCAAAGCAACCUACAAGUGCCACACAUUUAUGGGAACCUCUGCAACAGAUAUAGGAAGAAAUUUUCCAUAUUUUAGUCUAUAAGUUGAUUCCAUUAUUAUUAUUUUUUUGCUCCAGUUGCUUAUUGGUACUCUGCUUUUAUUUCAGUGCAAUGAGACAUUAAACUGCAUAAUUGUCAAUAAAAAACAGGAAAUAUUGGGG